rnacentral:lncRNA from 1 species
UAGGGUAUAGUUCUGGUUUUUUAGAUACCAAAAUUUUGAACCCAUUCGGAUACCUAACCACUUUUGGUUAAAGUUCAGUACUAUUUUUUGGAUCAGUUUUGUUCUUUUUUUUUUAAUUUGGAUUUUUUUCUCAACCCUAUAUUUUUAUUGUGAUAAAAUUUUAAACAAAAAUGUUGAUGGUUCAUAUUGAUUUUGGGUAUGCAAUAAUUUUUUUAACCAAAACACAUUUUACAAUGUACGUAUCCAUUUAGUUAAUCAUUAAAAACCUUUUUAGGUUUAUUUAAGGAAAACAAUGGAGUGAACUUUAUAAAGUUACCAUUUCAGAUUGUCAAUCGACAAUUCUAAAUAUUCUAUGUUGGUGUUGUGACGGUGAUAUCUAUUAAUGUGAUCGAUACAAGUAAGAUUUAUUUAUAAGCUAUUAUUAUCAAAUCUUUAUUAUUCAUAAUCAUUAAUUGUCAUAUAUAUGUUAAUCAUAUUAGGUAACACCGUAGCUUUUACAGUUUUACUUAAGGAAAAAAUACACACUUCUUAUAUUUUGGGUUAAUAUAAUGUUUCUUAACAAUUGAAUUUUAGACCUACAAAUUAU